rnacentral:rRNA from 1 species
AAGACCUUGCGCUUUGGGAGCGGCCGAUGUCUGAUUAGCUAGUUGGUGGGGUAAAGGCCUACCAAGGCGACGAUCAGUAGUUGGUCUGAGAGGACGACCAGCCACACUGGGACUGAGACACGGCCCAGACUCCUACGGGAGGCAGCAGUGGGGAAUUUUGGACAAUGGGCGCAAGCCUGAUCCAGCAAUGCCGCGUGAGUGAAGAAGGCCUUCGGGUUGUAAAGCUCUUUCAGCCGGGAAGAAAAGGUUGCGACUAAUAAUCGCAAUUCAUGACGGUACCGAAAGAAGAAGCACCGGCUAACUACGUGCCAGCAGCCGCGGUAAUACGUAGGGUGCGAGCGUUAAUCGGAAUUACUGGGCGUAAAGGGUGCGCAGGCGGUUUUGUAAGUCAGAUGUGAAAUCCCCGGGCUUAACCUGGGAACU